GAGUGGCCAGUUGCCGGCUGCCGAGAAUGAAGCUCAGAGCAUCUGGGCUUAAGCCGGUUCAGCUUCAGAGGUGGGUUUCGGAAGUCUGUGGCGGACCACGGCAGCAAGUCGUCACUCACCGUACAAGCCUUUCCAUUUCUGAGAAUAUAAAAAACUUAAGCAUGCGGCGUUCGGAGUGUAGAUUGCUUUGUAGUAUUCCAAAGCAGCGCUGAUCGUGGGCAGAGGAGCAGAUAUGUGCAACAGAAACUACUCACUGGAACUCUUCUGGUAAAGAAGCCAGAAUUAUAAAAUGGAAAAAAGAAUCUUCAACAGAUUACCAUCUGGCCUAACUGGAUGUCUGCAUGUACAAGAAUGCAAAUAGUGCCUUACCCAUCACCCUGCACAAAACUCUAGUCUAAGUGGAUUGAAGAUCUCAGCAUAAAAUCAGAUAC
rnacentral:lncRNA from 1 species